rnacentral:rRNA from 1 species
UGGGGAAUUUUGGACAAUGGGCGAAAGCCUGAUCCAGCCAUUCCGCGUGCAGGACGAAGGCCUUCGGGUUGUAAACUGCUUUUGUACGGAACGAAAAGCCCUGGGUUAAUACCCUGGGGUCAUGACGGUACCGUAAGAAUAAGCACCGGCUAACUACGUGCCAGCAGCCGCGGUAAUACGUAGGGUGCAAGCGUUAAUCGGAAUUACUGGGCGUAAAGGGUGCGCAGGCGGUUUUGUAAGACAGAGGUGAAAUCCCCGGGCUCAACCGGGGAACUGCCUUUGUGACUGAAAGGCUGGAGUGCGGCAGAGGGGGGUGGAAUUCCGCGUGUAGCAGUGAAAUGCGUAGAUAUGCGGAGGAACACCGAUGGCGAAGGCAACCCCCUGGGCCUGCACUGACGCUCAUGCACGAAAGCGUGGGGAGCAAACA